rnacentral:sRNA from 1 species
AUUCAGGAUGAAGACGUAGUAACAAUUUUGCCCUUGUUUUAAUUACUCUUCAACAACAUGUGAUUUUUGAAAUCUGAUUUAAGCCUUUUUGGGGGCUCUGUCUCGGAAGACCUAGGCUGUAGACGUGGGGAUUUCAGUAGGAAACAUUAUGGAUCUGUGGAGCUGCUUAUUUCCAGUGAUGCUGAUGGAGCCAUCCAAAGGGCUGGAAGAUUCAGAGUGGAAAAUGGCUCUUCAGAUGAGAAUGCAACUGCCCUGCCUGGUACUUGGCGAAGAACAGACGUGCACUUAGAGAACCCAGAAUACCACACCAGAUGGUAUUUCAAAUAUUUUUUAGGACAAGUCCAUCAGAACUACAUUGGAAACGAUGCAGAGAAGAGCCCUUUCUUCUUGUCCGUGACCCUUUCUGACCAAAACAAUCAACGUGUCCCUCAAUACCGUGCAAUUCUUUGGAGAAAAACAGGUACCCAGAAAAUAUGCCUUCCCUACAGUCCCACAAAAACUCUUUCUGUGAAGUCCAUCUUAAGUGCCAUGAAUCUGGACAAAUUUGAGAAAGGCCCCAGGGAAAUUUUUCAUCCUGA